rnacentral:rRNA from 1 species
AAAUUGAAGAGUUUGAUCAUGGCUCAGAUUGAACGCUGGCGGCAGGCCUAACACAUGCAAGUCGAACGGUAACAGGCAGCAGCUUGCUGCUUUGCUGACGAGUGGCGGACGGGUGAGUAAUGUCUGGGAAACUGCCUGAUGGAGGGGGAUAACUACUGGAAACGGUGGCUAAUACCGCAUAACGUCGCAAGACCAAAGAGGGGGACCUUCGGGCCUCUUGCCAUCAGAUGUGCCCAGAUGGGAUUAGCUUGUUGGUGAGGUAACGGCUCACCAAGGCGACGAUCCCUAGCUGGUCUGAGAGGAUGACCAGCCACACUGGAACUGAGACACGGUCCAGACUCCUACGGGAGGCAGCAGUGGGGAAUAUUGCACAAUGGGCGCAAGCCUGAUGCAGCCAUGCCGCGUGUAUGAAGAAGGCCUUCGGGUUGUAAAGUACUUUCAGCGGGGAGGAAGGUGUUGUGGUUAAUAACCACAGCAAUUGACGUUACCCGCAGAAGAAGCACCGGCUAACUCCGUGCCAGCAGCCGCGGUAAUACGGAGGGUGCAAGCGUUAAUCGGAAUUACUGGGCGUAAAGCGCACGCAGGCGGUCUGUCAAGUCGGAUGUGAAAUCCCCGGGCUCAACCUGGGAACUGCAUUCGAAACUGGCAGGCUUGAGUCUUGUAGAGGGGGGUAGAAUUCCAGGUGUAGCGGUGAAAUGCGUAGAGAUCUGGAGGAAUACCGGUGGCGAAGGCGGCCCCCUGGACAAAGACUGACGCUCAGGUGCGAAAGCGUGGGGAGCAAACAGGAUUAGAUACCCUGGUAGUCCACGCCGUAAACGAUGUCUACUUGGAGGUUGUGCCCUUGAGGCGUGGCUUCCGGAGCUAACGCGUUAAGUAGACCGCCUGGGGAGUACGGCCGCAAGGUUAAAACUCAAAUGAAUUGACGGGGGCCCGCACAAGCGGUGGAGCAUGUGGUUUAAUUCGAUGCAACGCGAAGAACCUUACCUGGUCUUGACAUCCACGGAAGUUUUCAGAGAUGAGAAUGUGCCUUCGGGAACCGUGAGACAGGUGCUGCAUGGCUGUCGUCAGCUCGUGUUGUGAAAUGUUGGGUUAAGUCCCGCAACGAGCGCAACCCUUAUCCUUUGUUGCCAGCGGUCCGGCCGGGAACUCAAAGGAGACUGCCAGUGAUAAACUGGAGGAAGGUGGGGAUGACGUCAAGUCAUCAUGGCCCUUACGACCAGGGCUACACACGUGCUACAAUGGCGCAUACAAAGAGAAGCGACCUCGCGAGAGCAAGCGGACCUCAUAAAGUGCGUCGUAGUCCGGAUUGGAGUCUGCAACUCGACUCCAUGAAGUCGGAAUCGCUAGUAAUCGUGGAUCAGAAUGCCACGGUGAAUACGUUCCCGGGCCUUGUACACACCGCCCGUCACACCAUGGGAGUGGGUUGCAAAAGAAGUAGGUAGCUUAACCUUCGGGAGGGCGCUUACCACUUUGUGAUUCAUGACUGGGGUGAAGUCGUAACAAGGUAACCGUAGGGGAACCUGCGGUUGGAUCACCUCCUUA